rnacentral:rRNA from 1 species
ACCAUUGAAGCCCGUCCUACCUUCCGGUAAUCCGCCCUUUCCGGUGCCAUUCCGUGGAGUUUGAGGAGCUUAACCCCCUUCCUGCUUUGCCUAUUCCUGCUCCUGGGUGUACUUGCCCCUGUGGUUGGUUAACCUCAAUUUCCGGCCACCAUAAAAUGACUGGAGGAAUGUAGCUUCCAUCUUGUAUUGAAGUGUUAUAGCCUUUGGUAGAUGUGGUGAUCGAGAUUGAGGAUUGCAACGGAUACCUUUCGGGGCUACCUGUCUGAUCUCUGAUCGUUGCUUUGGUGCUGAAAGCGUGCUUAUAGUUAUCAAAGUCGAUGGUCAAUAGGUUAGAAUGGGUUAAAUUCGUUAAGGAUGUUGACGUAA